AAACAUGCCGGUCGAAGGCCCAAGGGUUCCUGGGGAAGGUUCAUCCGCCCAGGGUAAGUCGGGACCUAAGCUGAGGACGGAAGUCGUAGGCGAUGGAGAGCAGGUGGAGAUUCCUGCACUGCCCGUAGAAUGAAGCAGUGACACAGAAGGAUAGCUCGAGCGCGGUGAUGGUCAACUGCGUGAAAGCGUCGAGUGCGGCAUGCAGUGAAGAACGCGUGCCGGAAAGCAUGAGGCGCGAGAGGACCGAAAUCAAGUAGGGAAGCGAGCGAGUUCACGCUGGCGAGAAAAGCUGCUAGUGUAUUUACGGGUACCCGUACCGGAAACCGACGCAGGUGGGCAGGGAGAGAAUCCUGAGACAGACGGGAGAACCCUUGUUAAGGAACUCGGCAAAAUGACCCCGUAACUUCGGGAGAAGGGGUGCCUCCAGGAAUGGAGGCCGCAGAGAAGAGGCCCAAGCGACUGUUUAACAAAAACACAGGUAUCUGCGAAAGCGAGAGCUGACGUAUAGGUGCUGACACCUGCCCGGUGCUGGAAGGUUAAGGGGACAUGUCAUCGCAAGAGAAGCAUCGAACCGAAGCCCCAGUAAACGGCGGCCGUAACUAUAACGGUCCUAAGGUAGCGAAAUUCCUUGUCGGGUAAGUUCCGACCCGCACGAAUGGUGUAACGAUUUGGGCGCUGUCUCAACAAGGGGCCCGGUGAAAUUGAAGUAUGGGUGAAGAUGCCCAUUACCCGCGACUGGACGGAAAGACCCCGUAGAGCUUUACUGUAACCUGAUAUUGGAUUUCGGCAACUGAUGCACAGGAUAGGUGGGAGGCUUGGAAGUGAGUGUUUCGGCAUUCAUGGAGCCGCUGUUGGGAUACCACUCUUCUGUUGCUGGAAUUCUAACAUAGGCCCGUGAACCGGGUGAUGGACAGUGUCAGGCGGACAGUUUGACUGGGGCGGUCGCCUCCCAAAGAGUAACGGAGGCACCCAAAGGUACCCUCAGAAUGGAUGGAAACCAUUCGCAGAGUGCAAAGGCAGAAGGGUGCCUGACUGCGAGACUGACAAGUCGAGCAGAGACGAAAGUCGGGCUUAGUGAUCUGGCGGUAUCGAGUGGAAGAGCCGUCACUUAACGGAUAAAAGCUACCUCGGGAUAACAGGCUGAUACCCCCCAAGAGUUCACAUCGACGGGGGUGUUUGGCACCUCGAUGUCGGCUCGUCGCAUCCUGGGGCUGAAGCAGGUCCCAAGGGUUUGGCUGUUCGCCAAUUAAAGCGGCACGCGAGCUGGGUUCGGAACGUCGUGAGACAGUUCGGUCCCUAUCCAUCGUGGGCGUUGGAAUCAUGAGAGGAUCUGUUCCUAGUACGAGAGGACCGGAAUGGACGUACCACUGGUGCAACUGUUGCGCCGCCAGGCGCAUGGCAGGGAAGCGAAGUACGGGAAGGAUAAACGCUGAAGGCAUCUAAGCGUGAAGCCAGCCUCAAGAAGAAGGUUCCCAUUCACAAGAUGAAGUAAGGCCCCCGGGAGACGACCGGGAGAUAGGCCGGCGGUGGAAGCGCAGCAAUGCGUUGAGCUUGCCGGUACUAAUAGGCCGAGGGCUUGACUAG
rnacentral:rRNA from 1 species